AAAUGUUAAAAUGGUGCUUAAACUUCAAAGUAAAAAAAAAUUCCACUAGCUCUCCGUUUCCCCUUCUGACACAUAUAACUGCCAUUUUACCAUCACUCAUUCAAUAGUUUAGGAAACGUACUGUUAAUUCAACGUCUUCAAGUGUUUCACUGGAAAUAAACCAAUUGCCACUUGGAAAAACUGUUGAAAUGUGUUUAGAGAACCCUACACCACCGUUUCGCUGGUGGCAGUCCAGGUCCCAUAUCACAUUGCAAACGGCUGCUUUUAGACCAGCUCAGCUUGUGCUCACUUUUUUUUUUUUUUUUUUUUAAGGUCAUGGAAGCUGAAGGUUGAAAAAGCAAACAGAAAAAAAAAAACCCCACAUUUUAUCCAGCUUAGAAAUAAGCAGGAAACUCAGAGAACUUGUUCUUGACAAUAAGACCUCAGUAAUAAUACUGAAUAGAAAUUCAACCAAGUGGAUCUGACAGAAGCGAAGGCAGACAUCCAGGAGAUUCUUGUGAUUCAUCCCUCUCUUGACUCCUGGUAUUUGGCUAAUCCUCCUGAAAGUCCCAAGCUUGCAAAUCAGCCCCCGCUACAAGAUCUGUCUCUACACAUCACAGGUAAAGAAUGCUUUUUUGCAACCUGCUGUCUUGUGGAAAUAGUUUAUCUCCAGAAGGUAAAUGAUAGAAACCUAUCUUCCUAUAUUCAGGACAGGAAGGGAAAAUAGAAAAGACUUGAAGCUAAUUCUAGAUCCUGCAUUUACUAACUGAGUCACCUCUGGUAAUUUACUUGAUUAUAUCUCAGAAUAAUUACCAGUUAGGUGAGAAUAAUUAAUAUUUAUUCUACCUCCUGGGCUUAUGAAAAUUAUCUGAGAUAAAUAUGUAAAGGACCUAGUCCCAAUUAAGAUGAGGGAGUUUCUAAAUUGUGCAAAGUAGAAAUUUUGCCACCCCCCUGCCCCUUCCAACUCUAGUCAUUCGGAGUUUUCAAAUUGAUCUGGGAGAUGUGAAUAAGGGCUCUUUCCUUUCUGUAGGGACUUUCUUUUUAAGUGGUGGGGCUACUUCCUGUCUGAGAACAAAGGAUUGGGGGAAGAAUACACACACACACACACACACACACACACACGCACGCGCGCGCACGUUUUUGUUUCUUCUUUGUCUUCUGACUCUAAUUUGUAAAUGAAAUUUGAAUAAUGCUAUAAUUCCAUUGCAGUAUUUUCCAUAUACUGUUCUUAAUGAAAUAAGGUUAGCAAAUCUUAUCCUUACCACCUCCCUUAACUUUCUGCAUUUAAUGACACCGGAUUUGAAUUUUGUGGCAUUUUCAGGAAAAAGGCAUAUAAUUGGAGAUUCAAUUUCAUCUAUUUGAGAACUAACUGUUGAAGUUUAGUUAUUUUUAGUAGGCAAAAUCACUUUGAUCCAUUUUACUCUUUUUUUUUUUUACAAUUAAGGAACACUCACUUUAAUAUUCAUAGUUCUUUGAAGUAUAACACUAUGCAUUACUAUUUCUUGUUUAAACAUGAUCUAGCGAAAUCCAUAGUUAACUUGUAGGAAAAAAUGGGAGGAAGGGUUAGCACUAACCUGAAAGAAGACAGUAUCCCAAAGAACAUACUUGUAAAACAUGAAACGAGGAUCAUAGAUCUCAAUGUAAAAGCAUAAUAAAUACUAAGAAACAUAUGCAUCAUCUGAUCUUUUCUAAUCUGAUGGGCAGACUAUGUAAAACAUUGCUAACCUAUAGAUAGGUGAUUGAUUAGACAGAACCUAGUUCUAAAGAAAAAUUUUCAGGCAAAUUCCCAAGUUCAGCUCUUAAUAUACUUUUUGUUUUAUUAGAAGCUGUCCCUUUCCUGAACACUGAAGGGACAAGCUCUGAGAGGUGUGUGAUUAAUCCAUAGACAUCUAAGGCCUUUUUAAAAAGGCACUCAAGGACCUCAGCAAAUAUAGCCUCUGAAUUUUGUAAAUAUUCUAUUCCUAACUUAUUUGUUUGAGCAAAAUCAGAUGUCCUACUAACAGCACAAACUAGAUACAACUUUUAACCUAAAAAAAACACGUAGGAAAGAAAAAAUGUGCUUUAGAAUUUAAUUCGAAUUGAAAAUUCGUUUCCUUUCUGUGUAGUAUUGACUUUUGUGGGGCUUUUCAACAAUGAGUUUGGUUAAAAAUAUUUAAAACGACGAAGAGUCAUUGGAGAGUCUCAUAUUAUGCUGCGUACGUGUUCUUCACGUUAACAUCAUUUCCCUCGAGCCCUUCCCCUCAUCAGGACUCACCUCCUGAUCAGAGAGAAACUGCUUGGCUGUGUAGCCCUGAGAGUUUGGUUCCCAGAAGACAGAUGCUGGUCUCCGAGUUCUGGAACUUUCGACCUGUGUGACCUUGGGCUUCUGAACCUCAGUCUACUCAUCUGCAACAGGAUACUCACUUCACAAGGUCUCUUAAGUUACAAACUUUGCUGAACAUCUAACAUGGACUGGAUAGAUGCUAAUGAGUCUUAGUGUCGGAAACAACUUCAUGAGUCAAAGGAAUGAAGUCAUAAUGCUGGCAACUAACUACUGUAUCCAGAUAAGUUCCUGCUGACACUACUGUGAUGCCUGCCAGAGAAACUGUCUAAUGUCACAUUAACGCAGCAAAAAUGAUGAACAAUCCCUGCUCCAAGGCCUCCUUCACUCAAGGCUCCAGUGGCAUGUUGACUCUUGGCAUUUACACUUGUUUGCUUAUUGAACGGUGUCAGGUUUCUAUGGCUCCGAGUGCUGGCUCACAUUACAGUCAAGUGGAAGCAAGAAAAUUCAGGCAAGCCUUCAUGGAAAGAUAGACCUGCCACAUUUUCAGGUUUCUUGGUAAAUGGACAGAGAAAAGGAGGAUGAUGUAAUCUCUCUCCUUUUCCAAGAUUUUGACAGAAAAAAGUUGUGGAGUUGGGGAUGGGGGGGCGGUCAUGUUAGAACUGGAGAUCAGACCUGCCUCCGCGUCUGGGAAGGUGAUGGUGGGGGUCCUGCUGGUAGGAGAGGAGGGAUGAGGACAGUGUGCGGGCCCAGUGUGGGGAAGGAGAGGUAGCAGAUGGUCACAGCACCUGAAGAAUCUAGGGACAGGAAGGUGGCAUUCAAGACAAGUAAUCCUCAGUAGAAAGGUGAGAUUAGGUAUGAGCAAGCGAACGUCCUGGCAGAUGGGCUAAGCUUGACCAGAAGCAAUGGGAAAGAAUGGAUGAGGUAGUCAGGAUCAAGAGCGCUGGUCAACCAAAGUCAUGGCACCAUCUGGGAUUAAGGGGUAGACCCUAACCUUGGGAGUAAGAGAUUACAAGGAGAGCGGUAAGAUGGAAGAAGGACAGUGAUUAAAUUCACAAGCAAUCGAAUUACAACAGUGGGUUGGUCACAGAAGAGUGGGGAAGAGGGAACUAAUAUUCAUGGACUGCCUCCCACAUGCACAUCAGACACUGAGCUGGGGUAUAGAUUUUCUUCAUUCAUUUAUUCAACAAGUUCUUCUUUUUUUUGUUUUGAGGAAUAUCAGCCCUGAGCUAACA